AUUAAGCCAUGCAUGUGUAUGUUUAAGCGUAUUACGUAAAACUGUGGACGGCUCAUUACAAUAGCUGUAAUUUACUUGAUCUUGAAAAUCCUACACGGAUAACUGAGGUAAUUCUUGAGCUAAUACGUGCACCAAGGCUGCUCGUCUUGUGCGAGUAGUGCAUUUAUUAGAGCAAAACCAAGCGGCUUCGGCCGUUCUUUGCUGACUCAGAAUAACUAAGCUGAUCGCAUGGGCUCGUCCCGGCGACGUGUCUUUCAAGUGUCUACCUUAUCAACUUUCGAUGGUAGUGUCUGUGACUACCAUGGUGAUGACGGGUAACGGAGGAUAAGGGUUCGACUCCGGAGAAGGGGCCUGAGAAAUUGCCACUACUUCUACGGAAGGCAGCAGGCGCGCAAAUUGCCCAAUCUCGACGAGAGGAGGCAGUGACGAGAAAUAACGAGGCUGUUCUCUAUGAGGCCAGCCAUCGGAAUGGGUACAACAUAAACCCUUUAACGAGUAUCAAUGAGAGGGCAAGUCUGGUGCCAGCAGCCGCGGUAACUCCAGCUCUCAUAAUGCAUAGAAUCAUUGCUGCGGUUAAAAAGCUCGUAGUUGGAUCUGUGCUAGGAGUAUGGUGUGCCCGAGAGGGUAUCACUGUAUCAUCCCGGCUUUGGUCGGUCUUUGUGCGUCGGUCCUUCCUUGGUCCGCGUACAUGGCUGGCAUGUUUACUUUGAGCAAAUCGGAGUGCUCAGCACAGGCGUCUUGCCUGAACGAUCGUGCAUGGAAUAAUGGAACAGGAUUUCGGUCCUCUUUUAUUGGUUUUGUGGACUGAGAUAAGAUAAC
rnacentral:rRNA from 1 species